UACGUAGGGUGCAAGCGUUAAUCGGAAUUACUGGGCGUAAAGCGUGCGCAGGCGGUUUUGUAAGUCUGUCGUGAAAUCCCCGGGCUCAACCUGGGAAUUGCGAUGGAGACUGCAAGGCUAGAAUCUGGCAGAGGGGGGUAGAAUUCCACGUGUAGCAGUGAAAUGCGUAGAGAUGUGGAGGAACACCGAUGGCGAAGGCAAUCCCCUGGGCCUGCACUGACGCUCAUGCACGAAAGCGUGGGGAGCAAAACAGG
rnacentral:rRNA from 1 species